GGAGUUGUGGCUCAGUGGUGGAGUGCUCACCUAGCAAGGGUGAGGCACUGGGUUUGAUCCUCAGCACCA
rnacentral:tRNA from 1 species